ensembl:snRNA U6 U6 spliceosomal RNA
GUGCCAGUUUGGCUGUAUGUAGGCUAAGACUGGAAUGCUUCACAGAUUAGUAAGGCCUCUGAGCAAGGAUGACACUAAAAUUCAGGAAGUGUACCAUAUUUUC